AUUCCAGCUCCAAUAGCGUAUAUUAAAGUUGUUGCAGUUAAAAAGCUCGUAGUUGGAUUUGUGGUGGUGCCUGCGGUCCAAAAUGUUUUGGUGCUGUCGGGCACUGCCAUCCUUGGGUGGAACCUGUGGGGCAUUAGGUUGUUUUGCAGGGGAUGCCCAUCGUUUACUGUGAAAAAAUUAGAGUGUUCAAAGCAGGCUUACGCCGUUGAAUAUAUUAGCAUGGAAUAAUGAGAUAGGACUCUGGUGCUAUUUUGUUGGUUUGCGCACCGAAGUAAUGAUUAAUAGGGACAGUUGGGGGUAUUCGUAUUCCAUUGUCAGAGGUGAAAUUCUUGGAUUUUUGGAAGACGAACUACUGCGAAAGCAUUUACCAAGGAUGUUUUC
rnacentral:rRNA from 1 species